ACAUUUCACUGGUGGGCUGAUG
rnacentral:miRNA from 8 species